GUGGGGAAUAUUGGACAAUGGGCGAAAGCCUGAUCCAGCCAUGCCGCGUGUGUGAAGAAGGUCUUCGGAUUGUAAAGCACUUUAAGUUGGGAGGAAGGGCAUUAACCUAAUACGUUAGUGUUUUGACGUUACCGACAGAAUAAGCACCGGCUAACUUCGUGCCAGCAGCCGCGGUAAUACGAAGGGUGCAAGCGUUAAUCGGAAUUACUGGGCGUAAAGCGCGCGUAGGUGGUUCGUUAAGUUGGAUGUGAAAGCCCCGGGCUCAACCUGGGAAAUGCAGCCAAAACUGGCGAGCUAGAGUACGGUAGAGGGUGGUGGAAUUUCCUGUGUAGCGGUGAAAUGCGUAGAUAUAGGAAGGAACACCAGUGGCGAAGGCGACCACCUGGACUGAUACUGACACUGAGGUGCGAAAGCGUGGGGAGCAAACAGGAUUAGAUACCCUUGUAGUCC
rnacentral:rRNA from 1 species